UGAUUAUUAAGGUCUAAGAGGAGUUUUUGUCUUUGAAGGAUCCAAUGCCAAAAACUCCAGUAACUCCCUCAAACACUUCGAUGCCUCCUUCGUCUCCAAAAACUCCAGUGACUCCCUCAUUGCCAGAAACUCCGGUGACUCCCUCAUUGCCAAAAACUUCAAUGCCUCCCUCAUCGCCAGAAACUCCGGCAACUUCCUCAUUGCCAAAAACUCCGGUACCUUCCUCGUCGCCUAAGACAAAAAGUGUAUCCAAGGCAGAUGUAUCAGAUGCCCAGUUGCAAUCAAAUAUCGACUAUGCAGUGCAAUUCAACCUG
rnacentral:lncRNA from 1 species